rnacentral:rRNA from 1 species
UUUGAUUCCUGGCUCAGAAGGAACGCUAGCUAUAUGCUUAUCUAUAGUAAGUCCAGGCUCAGUGCGAGCGGUGGGGGCGGGCUAAACACAUGCAAGUGGAGGGGGGAUAGCAAUAUGUCAGCGGCAGAGGGGAGAGUAAAGAAUAAAAACGCACCUUUUGGUUUAGAACAAGUGAGUGAAACUUCCAAUAAUACCGGAUAAGCCCAUACGGAGAAAAAUUUAUCGCCGAAAGAUCGGCGCGUGUUUGAUUAGUUAGUUGGUGAAAUAAUGGCCCACCAAGGGGACGAUCAGUAGUGGGUCUGAGAGGAUGAUCACCCACAUUGGGAGAGAGACACGGCCCAAACUCGUGGGGGAGCCAGCAGUGGGGAAUACGGACAAUGGGAGCAAGCUCCAUCCAUACAUCGCGAGAGAGUGGGAAGACCCUAGGGUGUAAAGCUUUGUUGGCUGGAAGAUAAUGACAGACUCGC